GAUUAAGCGACUCAGGGCACGAGACGGAUGCCUUGGGACAUGCUGGCGAUGAAAGACGGAAAAGGCCACGAAAGACUGCGGGAAGCUGCCAAAUGAGCGAUGAUCCGCAGGUGUCUGAAUGGGGAAACCCUAUGGAAGUAAUGUUCCAUAAUUCUAAAGUGAGUAAAGUAGCUUUAGGAAGCAUACGGAGUGAAUUGAAACAUCUCAGUAACUCCAGGAAAAGAAAUCAAGUAAGAGAUUCCCUGAGUAGUGGCGAGCGAAACGGGAACAGCCUAAACCAAGAGACCUAGUCUUUUGGGGUUGCGGGAGUCCAAUGUGUGACUCAUUUUUUUAGCAGAAUGGCCUGGGAAGGCCAGCCAGAGUGGGUGAAAGCCCCGUACGCGAAAAGAAAAUGAGCGCUAGGAAUUUCCCAAGUACCAUGGGGUCGGAGGAUCCCUGUGGGAAUCUGGGUGCACCAUCAUCCAAGGCUAAAUACAAGCAUGUCACCGAUAGCGCAUAGUACCGUGAGGGAAAGGUGAAAAGAACCCCGUUGAGGGGAGUGAAACAGAAUCUGAAAUCCCGUGCCUACAAGCGGUGGGAGGGCUAUGCUCGAAAGAGAAAUGCCUGACCGCGUACCUUUUGCAUAAUGAACCAGCGAGUUAGUGUCGGUAGCAAGGUUAACCCGUUGCAGGGGGAGCCGUAGCGAAAGCGAGUCUGAAUAGGGCGAAUGAGUUGUCGGCACUAGACCCGAAACGUGAUGAGCUAGGCAUGACCAGGUUGAAGCGUCCGUAACAGGGCGUGGAGGACCGAACCGGUGGGCGUUGAAAAGCUCUCGGAUGAGUUGUGUCUAGGGGUGAAAGGCCAACCAAAUUACGUGAUAGCUGGUUCUCCCCGAAAGCUAUUUAGGUAGCGUCUUAUGGAAUGUCAUUGGGGGUAGAGCACUGAUUGAGCUAGGGGCCUUACCGGGUUACCAACCUCUAUCAAACUCCGAAUACCAAUGAACACUACGCCAUAGGAGGCAGACGGCGGGAGAUAAGUUUCGUCGUCAAAAGGGAAAGAACCCAGACCGCCAGCUAAGGUCCCAAAUUCUAUACUGAGUGGGAAAGGAUGUGACGAUCCCCAGACAACCAGGAGGUUUGCUUAGAAGCAGCAACCCUUUAAAGAAAGCGUAAUAGCUCACUGGUCGAGGAUCGUUGCGCCGAAAACGUAACGGGGCUGAAGUAUAGAACCGAAGCUGCGGAUGCUCAUGUACGACGUACAUGGGCGUGGUAGGGGAGCAUUGUCUAGGCUGAUGAAGCGUGAGCGAGAGCACACGUGGAGGUAUGACAAGAGCUGCUGCUGGUAUGAGUAGCGAUAAAAGGGGUGAGAAUCCCCUUCGCCGUAAGCCCAAGGGUUCCUGCACACGGUUCGUCCGGGCAGGGUUAGUCGAGACCUAAGUCGAGGCCGAAAGGCGUAGAUGAUGGAGAUGGGGUUAAUAUUCCUCAACUCAGCUUAAAGCGUUAUUAACUAAGUCGGGACUGCGUAAGUUCCUAUGAGCCAGUCAUCGGUUGUACUGGUCUAAGCAGGUAGGUAUGUAUGGUAGGCAAAUCCGCCGUACAAGAUGCCGAGAUGCGAAUGCGUGAGAGGUCACACUCUCUGAAGUCAUAGGGUCUACACGUACAAGAAAAGCGGCGUAGUGAGUUUUAAGUUGACUCGUACCGGAAACCGACACAGGUGGGCGAGGAGAGCAUCCUCAGGCGCGUGAGAGAAAUCCAGUUAAGGAACUCUGCAAAUUACUACUGUAACUUCGGGAGAAAGUAGCCCGGGAGUACUUGAGAAGACUACGCGUCUUCAAGGGGAAAUCGGGGGCAGAAACUAGGGGGUAUCAACUGUUUAACAAAAACACAGGACUCUGCAAACUCAUUCGAGGAUGUAUAGGGUCUGACGCCUGCCCGGUGCCGGAAGGUCAUGGGGAGAGGUCAUGGGGUAACCCAGAAGCUUCGAACUUAAGCCCCGGUAAACGGCGGCCGUAACUAUAACGGUCCUAAGGUAGCGAAAUUCCUUGUCGGGUAAGUUCCGACCUGCACGAAUGGCGUAAUGAAUUCCCCACUGUCUCGACUGGAGACUCAGCGAAAUUGGAGUUGCGGUGCAGAUACCGUAUUCCUGCGGCAAGACGGAAAGACCCCGUGAACCUUUACUGUACCCUGGCAUAGAUUAUCUGGAAAUUUUGUGUAGGAUAGGUGGGAGCCUUUGAAGCUUGGGCGCUAGCUCAGGUGGAGGCAAUCUUGAAAUACCACCCUGAAUUUUUGGCUAUUCUCACCGUAGAUCGUCUAACCGGUCACGGGACGAUGUCAGGCGGGCAGUUUGACUGGGGCGGUCGCCUCCCAAAGAGUAACGGAGGCGCACGAAGGUACCCUCAGGCCGAGUGGAAACCGGCCGUAGAAGAGUUCACAUCGACGGGGAGGUUUGGCACCUCGAUGUCGGCUCAUCGCAUCCUGGGGCUGGAGCAGGUCCCAAGGGUUUGGCUGUUCGCCAAUUAAAGCGGUACGCGAGCUGGGUUCAGAACGUCGUGAGACAGUUCGGUCCCUAUCUGCCGUAGGUGUUGGAGAAGUGAGAAGAGCUGUCCUUAGUACGAGAGGACCGGGAUGGACGGACCGCUAGUGAGCCUGUUGUUUCGCCAGAAGCAAUCGCAGGGUAGCUAUGUCCGGACGAGAUAACCGCUGAAAGCAUCUAAGUGGGAAACUCUCUUCAAAACAACUUCUCCCGGGGCGUUAAGCCCCCAUUAAGUUCCCUCGUAGACGACGAGGUUGAUAGGGUGGGUGUGUAAGUGCAGUAAUGCAUUCAGCUGACCACUACUAAUCGAACGUGAGGCUUAUCUUU
rnacentral:rRNA from 1 species